UUAAAACGUCCUCGCUCAGAGCUCCAGUAUCUUGUGGUGUGCAGCUACAUCCAGCUGCGACGUUGGUGGAGAUGAUCUUUUCAGGUAGACCGGUCGCCGGAUUCCUAAUGAAAACCUGUUCCUGAGCAAACGAUUUCGUCGAUGGCGACCACAACAUUUCCCAGUGGAUGAUCGUUUUCUACGGUUUUGUUUUCCACUUUGAAAGGACAAACCGUUUGGGAAUGUCGUCCGAGUUCCUGCAGUUCUUCCACGAUGGAAACCAUGCGAUACUGGACCACGUUGUCUUCUUCUUCAGGCUGUCCAAGUUGACCGGAACUAAUUGCGGCAGUGCUUGGUAGGACUGACCAGGCAAUGAGCUGCGGAGACGCAAAAGAUUAAAAGGCAAGAUCCACAAAGAUAUGCUACACAAAAAAUUCUUGGUCGAUUUGUCAGAAGCUUCAUUUUUGUCACACGAAGAGAUAUAGUUCUAACCCAUUGUUGGUCGAUGGUGUGAAGCUGUAACCAAUUCCGCUGCACGGCCCACCCAGAAAGCCUACCUCAGAUAAAUGACAUGACGCUUUAGAUGGGAACUCCAACAACUUCUGCGAUCCUCCUAAUCCUUUCCAUCUACCCGACUUUGACACCGGGACCACCUAUUAUUGCCGACUUCUAAUGGUACUUCCGGACUUCCGGUAAUCCGCCACAGCUCGACCGGCUUUCAGUAUUAAGCCCACAUCCGAGACUCUAUACAAUUGACGAAUCCAUCGUAAACCUGGAAACGUGCAUUAGAAAACCGGGUCCGUUUUGCGCCCAACACAGAUGAUUCUCAGAGCGUUGCGCCUAUAAACGAGAAUGACAGAGACCAGGAGUCUAGGACCACCGGAUAGCGGAGGCGAUAACAACGAAGAAGAACGAACUCGUUAUCAUCUCUGGCUCUCGACAAUUGUGAAAAAUGUCACCCAGUUUCUUUUCCUCCGCACGGAAUCCAUUCUUCCAAUUCAGCCAAUCAAUUCCGCAACAUACCAACGACGACCAACAACAUCAGUAGCCGGCAGUAACGUUGGAAAACUUCAAGGAAAUCCACCCAGACCUGAACCUUUGGCUGUUCCCGGUUGGUAGACCACGUAAUCUCCCGCCAACUUGGAGGGUUUUGCCGCGUAUUGGGCAUGUCAGGAGGAAGGAACUGCUUCCGUGAGGCACCUGGUAGAGAAAUUUGGCACUACUUUAUGGAAUCCCAUUACUUCAGUCGUCUGCUUCAUUCACGCGUUGUCGUGGCUUUCUUUCAACAUGGCGAUUGAUCAUUUUUGUUCGUGUUCUUUUGUGGAUCUUCAAAACAAAAUGCUUCCUCAUUCCGAUGUUGUUGUUUUGGAGUGGUGGUGUCGUGGAGAUCUUGUUGCCUGAUCUUGUCCUUAUCAUUUUGGUCACAUUCUCCCAGGAGAAACUGGAUGGGGAAAAUGGACGGCCUAAAGAAAGCAUCCAAGUGAGCCAAAUAGGCAUGACUCCUGAUUGAAGAGAAUAGAUGAGUGGCAACUUUGUCCCGUUGGAGAUUGGCUGGUUGCCAUGAUUGAAGCCGAAGUCUAGUGGCAGUUUUUGGACGCCGCCCAUGGAAAGAAGAACUCUUCCUUUACCAAUUUCACGGCGCUAUACUUGGGUUAAAUUUUAGCAUUGCCUACAUUCAAGCAGUGUCCUCAACAUCGACUGCGUUGACUGAAUGGGUGUGGGUGGGUGACGGCCAUGUUUUGCGGUCGAAUGGCAUCGUCCGUUUGUACCUGAUGUCAGUGAGGUUCCACGACGAGAAAGAGACGCCGAUUAAAUGAGGUGCAGUCCAUUGGCAAUAAGGCAAUAAUCAACGUGGUUCCUGGGUGCCUCCCAUCAAGGUCGAUUGGUGCUCGUACAUUCAGGAUCCGGAUUAUCCUCAUUCGCUCUGAUUUGAUGUUCGACUCGCUCUAGUGAAACCUCACGUUGGUUUCUCCAAUUUGCAUCUUCAACACGGGUGACGCAAUCAUUUCAUUUGCAGGUUAACAGCUGAUUGUAGCUGAUUGAAUGAGGCUCAAUUCCAAUCGAAUCAUCUUUCGAUUCAAUCGAGGCCUGGCACGUCCCCAUAUUUUAUCCAUUCUUUUAUAAACCUCUUCUUUCGCCCUUCAGUUUACUCGUCGCAUUUGGGCGACCUGGACGCAACCAUUCAACUCUCUUGAACAAGUGAACGUAGCCAGCCGAAAUUCAGACGAUCCAGGGAGAUAUCGUGACAAUCUAGUGCCAAUUGUGGCGAUGUCAGUGCUCUUUUAUCAAGUCUUCAUUCUUUGAAUGGUGAUUGAACUUUAAAGCCCUAUAAUUUGCUUGAAUAGAGAACCGUGAAAAAUGUGCUCGGUCUGAAUCUCGUAGACACGGAAAGCGCAAGACUAUGGCGGCUUUGCUUUGUUUCUUUCUGUUUGUGUGGUGUAAAAUGGGGCAUGGUUUGAAAUAAGCUCAUCGCACCCUACACACCCUAUACAAACAGAUCAAAAAUGAAACGGAAGCAAAUAAGAGAGCCGCUUGUUCGUAUUUCGUAAGGGGAGAAUCGCAACAGAUGGACGAGUGACUGGCAACAAUUUCUUCUUCUCCUCAAUCUCUGGUAAAUUGCCCAGUCAGUCCUUGCUCACCUCUACUGUCGUGAAUUUCACCAAAAUGAUUGGAAAAUGAGGGGGCUCAUUGAAUAGGUCAUUUAGACGAAACGAAGAGAGGGUGAGGUUAAAAUUCAAAGUGGAAGGCUUUUCUUCAAUUGUCAUGGGAUAAUACGGUGCUUAUGACCUGUUGGUGCUCAUUAACCACUCGAUGCGUGAGGCUCUAUGGAAUGACAUUGAUUGCUCUAUUUUCAUCAUCGCGGUUUUUUCUCAAUUCAGUUUAUUCAUUUAAAUUUAGUUUUCAGUUCAAUUAAAAAUGUUUCCUCAAUUCAUCAAACUUGAAGCCACCUAGCGUUCAAGGUUUAAACCUUUUUUCAUAUCGUUAUGGCAUUUCUUUUUUUGCGAAAAACAAUAUUGUGGUGUAGAAAGUAUCGAGUGCUUUUUUAAUAUUGAAGAAAUAUUGAUUAUAACGUGACUGAAGGGUUAAAAACUUAAAAUCAACGAAUUCAUUUAGUUUUUCGUCACGUGAUGAGGCGCCAUGCGCGUCGUCCAAUAGGAAAGCUUUCAUUGAAUCAGCUGUUAGUUAGUGUGUAAAUUUGAGAAAAGAAAUGGUUUGAAGUUUGAGCACAAAGCAGUUUGUAGUUCUGAAUCUCGGAUUUAAAAUUGAAAUAAUUCUCUGAUUGUUACUCUAAUCAACAAUUCACGUCUACGUAAGAAAAAACCAAAUGUGGACAUUGCAACUGAACUUGAAAACUAGUAUUUAUCUGUCAUGCUUCUGUUUUAGCCACCUAUGUAGGAAGAAACCUUUCUAACUUAAUUGAUAAAUUUGUUUGAUGUGUCUUUAUUUAUCAUGCAUUACAGGUUGGUUUAAAUCACUGCAAAAGGUUUACUUUGCUCAAAGGCAGAAGAUGACCUUCCAGUUUUGCUUGAAAAACCUUUCGUUCCAUGCCAUUUCCUUUUGAAUGGUAUUUUCUCAUAUUUUCUGUCUAUUUAAAUGAAGAGUGCUGAUUUUCCGUUUGAAACCAUGAAUCAAAUUGAAGACUUGGCUCUGAAAUUUAUGGAAUCAGGUGUCACUGUACACCAUCAUCUGAGAAAUUUAUAAUGAAUUACCUUCAAAUCAUACUUCUACUCUGCCAAACUACUUCUGGACCAGUGUUUGCUGUUUGGUACAGAAAUUUUAAGUUAUGAACAAGGAGGAAUCCAGUGCUUUGCUUAUGAAGGAAAACCAGUCUUCUUUGCAAAGGCAAGAACAACCAAGUAUAGUGAAACUGAAGGCUCAAUUUGCUGAGAGAUCAUUUGUGAAGUGCAAAGCUGUUGAUCUCCGCCAAAUUCCCAUAAAAAAUUGCCAACAUUCAUCUAAUAUGGUUAUUGUAUCAGUAGCUCUUGUUCUCAUUAAUUUAUUCAUUAACCACUUGAUGAAUUUUGUGUUGCAUUUCCAGCAACCUCGGAACAGCUCAGAUAUUGUACUUGCAGUCCGAGGACUUAGACACACGUCCGACUGAUUUCUUGCAGGAAACGCCAGUUGGUUUCUGCGAAUCGCCCCGUCAAGGUUUUGUGGUUCCAUCACCCGUUGCAUCAAAUGGGGGGGGGGGGGGAAAGAAUUUGAAGAAAAAUGAAGAUGCACACGCUGCCAGGAACGGGAUCCGGAUCGUCGGCCAUCGACUAUUUUGCCAGAACAGUUUAAGCUUUGUGUGAGCAUCUUUUUUAAAUUGACAAAUUCAUCGCAUUUUUUUACACGGCUCAUGACAAGUUUAACAGUACCGAUUAACCAUCGAUACACGCGUGUUUCAUGUCUGGUGAUGAUCCGCUGAAAUUUUUAAAACCUUUUCUUUUUAUAUUAGUAGAAGGGGACGAGUGGGUGUAUGGGAUAAGGCGUCAUUUAGGAGUAGGUGCAGUGGUGCACCUGGAGACCAGGGUUCGAACCCCCUGGCGAGCUAUUGUUGGUUGGUGAUACACUCGCUAUGGCGCCACUGUGGCGUCACAUGGACCCCGUGACUUGCUGCUGGAGAGGGAACUCGGGAGGGUUGGCUGGGGGACGGUUUUCGUCGAUAUUGGGAUCGGUCCAAUAUUCCUCAGUCGGCGCAAAAGGCAAAUGAAAUGUGGAAUAAUGGGAAAUUGGCGCUGUAUAUCUGGCAGAGCAAAGGGCCCUUAUUUGCGCAGUCAUUGGGUUAAUUGCCUUGUUUCCGUCGUGUUGAAUUGGGAAUGUGUUGCAUACAAGUGGGUGCUGGCUCUGUACGACUAGUCGAAUAAUCUCAGUGAUCAUAUGCGCGUUGCUUCCGCACGAAUCCAACAAUGUUGUCCUUGUCAUACACCGCCCGGUGUAUCAUGUGGGCAACAACUUGUGAAAUGCGUGUAUGUGAGGGAUUAUUUGUGCUAGUUUCAGAUCCGUAUAUCCAGCCUAGAGCCGGGCAGUUGCGACCCCGGCCCCAUCCACUAUCAUUGUUAAAAUUGUUAUGUCAAUUAUAGAAUAUUUGGUAUCAACAAGUAGUACACACACACAGCGGCGGAUGUGCUCCCUCUCCUUGCUAUUUAGUGGUCAUAUUUAAACUUUUUCUGUUCCUUUUCUGAUUUUAAAAUAAUUGUAUUUCAUUUUUAAUUUAUAUCAAUUUAAAUUUUAUUUUUCCGCCUUCUAAAUAUAGCUCUAAAUAUGAGCUCUAAAUAUACCUGAUUCCCCCAAUCUCCAUUCCUAACGAAUUGUCUAAUUUGACUAGUAACAACAUUGUAUCGAUAUUUAGUUCUCCAUCGAUUUGAUAAUCGAUUGAUAAUUGGUAAACAUUGAAAUUUCGUCUGCUCUUUCAACAAGCGAAUAAGGACUAAGAAGCAGAAGCAACAACGUCAUCAAGCUGUCUUUGUCAUUUCACCCGAUUUGUGAGCGAGAUGCAACAUCUGUGAGACUGUGACAGCUAAAUGAACAGGAGGAGAAACAAAGCACCAGAAGACAUUUUACUGAAUUAAGUUCCUCUCAAUGAGUUUGACUCCCCUGGAAGUCAGAUCAAUCCUGCCAAGCAAAAUGGAGCCCGAGGAGGUUGAUUCGACUCCACACAAUUCUGGUAACUGAAUAAGUAAGACAAAAGUUGCCUCUGCAGAGGCAAUAGUAGAAAUCAAAUUCACUGAACGUGAACAUCAUCAAAUAGGUGUCAGGUGAAUGGAUAGUAAUUGGUAGCCUCAAGCCCACUCAACAUUUUAAUUUCGCAAUGUUAUUGCCCGUUUCGUCUUCUAGAAGAUCAAGACAAUUUCGAUACAGACACUGAUGUGAUGGCCGAGUCUACCACAACGGCAUUGAACCGUUGGCAUCAGUCGAGUCCCAUUCGUUCACCCUGGGACGUAGAGCAGCGAUUGAGACUAUUGUGGCGAGAGUAUUUGUCUCUGGUGGUUAGCAUGCAGCUAAAUAAAAUGGGUGACGGCGGCGGAAACCGCUCUCAACAGCCAGGAGCGCCGGAUUGCGGAGGCGAUAACAACCAUCGAGAACUCUUUAUCGUCUCUGGCUCUCGACCAUUGUGGAAACUGGAAUGUGUCACCAGUUUAUUUUCCCGCUAAAAUCAUGGAAGAUGGAUUAUUUGAAAAUGUCCAUUAGAAAAAAACUAAGAAACCGCUGGCAAAUACCGAUCCGGCGAACAGUGCUCCAGUGCUCCUCUUUCCCGUUGCCAGGCAACAAUUUUUUCCACGCUGCUCGUCUACUGAAAAGGAGAAUGCGUUGAAUAGUAAAUUGAUGUGCGGAUGAAGACGAUUUCGUGCUAGUCUGGGAUGCAAUAGAUUUAUCUAACCGAGUAAGUCGUAAUUCCAUUAAUACUUUAGAAAAAAAGGCUAUUUAUUGUGAGAUAAGAGCGAUGUUUGAUAUUUCCGAAGAACAGAUCCAGUUUCAAUCUCAAAUGGCUCUUUUUCGUAGAAUAUCCUCGGCCAAAUUUUCAUUUAUAACCUGCUAAAAUUGUUUUAUUUUACCGAUUUUGCAUUCGCCUUUCGCCCUUUGGUCGCAAUUUUUAUGAUCUCGCAACGGUGCCCCUUCCCCUCCGUAGAGCCUUUCAAAAUGGCGACGACGUUACAAAUUGUGAUUGACGUGUCGCCUGUCGCCGUUCUCAACAUAUUUUUGGAUUUUUCGUUUUUUUCCGCGAGAUGGAGUGGAUUUGGAGAAAGAUCUGUAUUUACAUGUUUUAAGUACUGUUGCAAUGUGUGACAGAUGGUUUUUAAGAUAGACCAUAAAUUAAUAGCAGCUUCAUAUAUUGUUGUCCUUUCAGUAUUUUUGCUGACUCCAAAAAACCAAAUUAAACAAUGGGUAUUACGACUUGGAUACUCAUGAUUCUUAAAUUGUGAUUCUGUGUUUACAGGUAAUCCAGCACAAAUUCAACAUGCUUCAAGUGCAAUUAUUAAAAAAUCUUUGAAUGCUUGCCAUUACUUAGAUUUGUUAAAAAGGAUUUGGAUGUGGAUUCCUCUGUUUAGUAGAAACAUCAACUUUUGUUGUGAGGCUUGGUGUAUCAUCUAGGUAUGAAGCUACUGUGUGCUCACUUUUCUCCGAGUUCAGCAACCUUUACAUCAAUGAUCACAACUGGAUAUUCAAUUGUUAUUUCAACAGGGCAUUAUUGCGUAAUAAUACUUUGAGUGUAUUACUAAUGUCGACUUGAAGCAGAACCGUCAACAAAAUUUGAACCAUCGUCAUCUCGCUCUUAAAACGUCCUCGCCCAGAGCUCCAGUAUCUUGUGGUGUGCAGCUACAUCCAGCUGCGACGUUGGUGGAGAUGAUCUUUUCAGGUAGACCGGUCGCCGGAUUCCUAAUGAAAACCUGUUCCUGAGCAAACGAUUUCGUCGAUGGCGACCACAACAUUUCCCAGUGGAUGAUCGUUUUCUACGGUUUUGUUUUCCACUUUGAAAGGACAAACCGUUUGGGAAUGUCUUCCGAGUUCCUGCAGUUCUUCCACGAUGGAAACCAUGCGAUACUGGACCACGUUGUCUUCUUCUUCAGGCUGUCCAAGUUGACCGGAACUAAUUGCGGCAGUGCUUGGUAGGACUGACCAGGCAAUGAGCUGCGGAGACGCAAAAGAUUAAAAGGCAAGAUCCACAAAGAUAUGCUACACAAAAAAUUCUUGGUCGAUUUGUCAGAAGCUUCAUUUUUGUCACACGAAGAGAUAUAGUUCUAACCCAUUGUUGGUCGAUGGUGUGAAGCUGUAACCAAUUCCGCUGCACGGCCCACCCAGAAAGCCUACCUCAGAUAAAUGACAUGACGCUUUAGAUGGGAACUCCAACAACUUCUGCGAUCCUCCUAAUCCUUUCCAUCUACCCGACUUUGACACCGGGACCACCUAUUAUUGCCGACUUCUAAUGGUACUUCCGGACUUCCGGUAAUCCGCCACAGCUCGACCGGCUUUCAGUAUUAAGCCCACAUCCGAGACUCUAUACAAUUGACGAAUCCAUCGUAAACCUGGAAACGUGCAUUAGAAAACCGGGUCCGUUUUGCGCCCAACACAGAUGAUUCUCAGAGCGUUGCGCCUAUAAACGAGAAUGACAGAGACCAGGAGUCUAGGACCACCGGAUAGCGGAGGCGAUAACAACGAAGAAGAACGAACUCGUUAUCAUCUCUGGCUCUCGACAAUUGUGAAAAAUGUCACCCAGUUUCUUUUCCUCCGCACGGAAUCCAUUCUUCCAAUUCAGCCAAUCAAUUCCGCAACAUACCAACGACGACCAACAACAUCAGUAGCCGGCAGUAACGUUGGAAAACUUCAAGGAAAUCCACCCAGACCUGAACCUUUGGCUGUUCCCGGUUGGUAGACCACGUAAUCUCCCGCCAACUUGGAGGGUUUUGCCGCGUAUUGGGCAUGUCAGGAGGAAGGAACUGCUUCCGUGAGGCACCUGGUAGAGAAAUUUGGCACUACUUUAUGGAAUCCCAUUACUUCAGUCGUCUGCUUCAUUCACGCGUUGUCGUGGCUUUCAACAUGGCGAUUGAUCAUUUUUGUUCGUGUUCUUUUGUGGAUCUUCAAAACAAAAUGUCAAGUAUCUUUUUUUUUUAUUACUGCAUUUCAAAUUCUAACGUAUAGACGCUAUACUUAUGUAUUUCCCUAAUGUGUUUCCACAUGUAAGACUAGGCAAGAGUAGAUUUUUCAUCAAUAGGGGGAGACGGUCAUGCGAUCACUUUGCAAUUCCUUCUAUAUUGUUUUUGAUUUCAUGACAUUUUUGCUUUUAUUUAAAAAAAUGCAUUUUUAAGAGUAAAUUAUGGGAAAUGGAUGAACAAAUGGCAUCUCCCUUUCAAUCACUGGAAAUCCAGUUCUCGUAAAGGAAUGAAUGUGCGUUAGAUGGUUACCAUGAAGCUGCAAAUAAUAUUUGUUUCUUCUAAAUCUAUUCAGGCUUCCUCAUUCCGAUGUUGUUGUUUUGGAGUGGUGGUGUCGUGGAGAUCUUGUUGCCUGAUCUUGUCCUUAUCAUUUUGGUCAGAUUUUCCCAGGAGAAACUGGAUCGGGAAAAUGGACAGCCUAAAGAAAGCAUCCAAGUGAGCCAAAUAGGCAUGACUCCUGAUUGAAGAGAAUAGAUGAGUGGCAACUUUGUCCCGUUGGAGAUUGGCUGGUUGCCAUGAUUGAAGCCGAAGUCUAGUGGCAGUUUUUGGACGCCGCCCAUGGAAAGAAGAACUCUUCCUUUACCAAUUUCACGGCGCUAUACUUGGGUUAAAUUUUAGCAUUGCCUACAUUCAAGCAGUGUCCUCAACAUCGACUGCGUUGACUGAAUGGGUGUGGGUGGGUGACGGCCAUGUUUUGCGGUCGAAUGGCAUCGUCCGUUUGUACCUGAUGUCAGUGAGGUUCCACGACGAGAAAGAGACGCCGAUUAAAUGAGAAUGUAUUGGGAUUUACGUGCAUGUAACAGUGCUGCAAGACAUAUUGAUUUUGCUGUGCCACCUUUAGUGUUGCUGUGUAGGAGACGGGGACGUAUUUCAUCCGGAAAAGUGCACUUUUAAAAGCAAUUUUAAAAGGCGGACGUUUGUUUUUUUAUUUGUUUCUCAGAUUAUUUUCUUAAACUCGCCCGUGGUAUGGAAUUGGCAUGGCCUCUCUCUGUUCUAAUUUUUGACUCUUUAUAAAUGUCGUUGACUGGUGUUGGUUAAUAAGAUUAAGGCUUGCCCUUUUGGUAUAAGUA